rnacentral:rRNA from 1 species
UGCAAGUCGAACGGAAAGGCCCUUCGGGGUACUCGAGUGGCGAACGGGUGAGUAACACGUGGGUGAUCUGCCCUGCACUUUGGGAUAAGCCUGGGAAACUGGGUCUAAUACCGAAUAUGACCGCGCACUUCCUGGUGUGUGGUGGAAAGCUUUUGCGGUGUGGGAUGGGCCCGCGGCCUAUCAGCUUGUUGGUGGGGUAAUGGCCUACCAAGGCGACGACGGGUAGCCGGCCUGAGAGGGUGACCGGCCACACUGGGACUGAGAUACGGCCCAGACUCCUACGGGAGGCAGCAGUGGGGAAUAUUGCACAAUGGGCGCAAGCCUGAUGCAGCGACGCCGCGUGAGGGAUGACGGCCUUCGGGUUGUAAACCUCUUUCAAUAGGGACGAAGCGCAAGUGACGGUACCUAUAGAAGAAGGACCGGCCAACUACGUGCCAGCAGCCGCGGUAAUACGUAGGGUCCGAGCGUUGUCCGGAAUUACUGGGCGUAAAGAGCUCGUAGGUGGUUUGUCGCGUUGUUCGUGAAAACUCACAGCUUAACUGUGGGCGUGCGGGCGAUACGGGCAGACUAGAGUACUGCAGGGGAGACUGGAAUUCCUGGUGUAGCGGUGGAAUGCGCAGAUAUCAGGAGGAACACCGGUGGCGAAGGCGGGUCUCUGGGCAGUAACUGACGCUGAGGAGCGAAAGCGUGGGGAGCG